UUUUGUUCCUCCAGCAAUUAGGGUUUUGGAUUUUGGAUUUGCUUCUUGUGGAAUUGCUCCGAAGUCGAGAAGCUUCGGAUUCAGUCAAUUUUCUGCUCAAUUUCUAUCAUCAUGGCAAAUCCUACAGGACGGUCGUUUUUGCAAGUGGCAGCUACAGAGGAGGCUGUUGCGCCACCACUCAGAGUUGUUCAGAUUGAAGGACUGG
rnacentral:misc_RNA from 1 species